AACGAACGCUGGCGGCAUGCCUAACACAUGCAAGUCGAACGAGACCUUCGGGUCUAGUGGCGCACGGGUGCGUAACGCGUGGGAACCUGCCCCUUGGUUCGGAAUAACACAGAGAAAUUUGUGCUAAUACCGGAUGAUGACUUCGGUCCAAAGAUUUAUCGCCGAGGGAUGGGCCCGCGUAGGAUUAGCUUGUUGGUGGGGUAAUGGCCUACCAAGGCGACGAUCCUUAGCUGGUCUGAGAGGAUGAUCAGCCACACUGGGACUGAGACA
rnacentral:rRNA from 1 species